CAAAAGAAUAAGGUGGCAUUAUCACAGGACCAUGCGUCUGAGUUGCAGGAGAUAAAUGAGGUAAUUCGUUUCCAUUCAUCAGCAGUUUAGCCCCAUUCAGCGCUGAGAACCUGAGUAUACAGUAAACAUUUAGUCAAAGAUCCAUGAAGAAGUUACUAUUAAUGGCUGAGGGGAAGUUUACUACAAGACAUUUUUCAACUAUCUCAUUCUGGAUUAACUGGAGUAGAAUCAUUUCAGACUAGUCAAGAGGUAACUAUACAAAACAAAUAACGCAAGACUGAAAAGUUUCCUUCUUCUUUUAGACCCUCGAUCGCACGAUCAUGAUUCGGGCUUGUGUUUGCUCUACAUUCAUUCGCACACACAGGAGUGCAGAAGUCACUGGGUGGAGACAACGAAGGGCAGCC